rnacentral:rRNA from 1 species
UACGUAGGGUGCGAGCGUUAAUCGGAAUUACUGGGCGUAAAGCGUGCGCAGGCGGUUUUGUAAGCCAGAUGUGAAAUCCCCGGGCUUAGCCUGGGAAUGGCAUUUGGGACUGCAAGGCUCGAGUGCGGCAGAGGAGACUGGAAUUCCUGGUGUAGCAGUGAAAUGCGUAGAUAUCAGGAGGAACACCGAUGGCGAAGGCAGGUCUCUGGGCUGACACUGACGCUCAUGCACGAAAGCGUGGGGAGCAAACAGG